UACGUAGGGUCCGAGCGUUGUCCGGAAUUAUUGGGCGUAAAGAGCUCGUAGGCGGUUUGUCGCGUCUGCUGUGAAAUCCCGAGGCUCAACCUCGGGUCUGCAGUGGGUACGGGCAGACUGGAGUGCGGUAGGGGAGAAUGGAAUUCCUGGUGUAGCGGUGAAAUGCGCAGAUAUCAGGAGGAACACCGGUGGCGAAGGCGGGUCUCUGGGCCGAUACUGACGCUGAGGCACGAAAGCGUGGGGAGCAAACAGG
rnacentral:rRNA from 1 species